GAAAGAAUCUCUGGAAAGCCGGCCGCCCAUCCAGGCCGCACCGACGGAGUAAGGGCCGAGGCCCGAAUCUCUCAGGUACCGUGGACAGAGGGGGGUCG
rnacentral:ncRNA from 2 species